GAUGAGAAGAGUAAAAAACGCCCGGGUGGCGCUGAGAAGCAUUGGGAAAAAAAGCUGAAGUCUCUGGAGGUGGAGGCUGCUAAAUGUGCCAAACUGACGGACCUAUUUGGUUCCGGGUUCACCAGCCCAGCAGCAGCAGGUGCGCCGGGAGACGAGCGAGGAGGACUCGACAAUGAUGAGCGAGUGGAGGCAGACAUGGUUGUUGUGAUAUAUUUGAGGAGUCGUUCUCCCUCUGUUUUAUAUGUGGACAUUUGGGACCACUGUUAGAAUUUGGUUGACCACUUGACAUGUGAGAG